UGUGGCCAGUGCAGUGCCGCAGAGAAGUCGUUAAGUUUGCCGCCUGGGAAGUACGUACGCAAGUAUGAAACUUAAAGGAAUUGGCGGGGGAGCACCACAAGGGGUGAGGCCUGCGGUUCAAUUGGAGUCAACGCCAGAAAUCUUACCCGGAGAGACAGCAGAAUGAAGGUCAAGCUGAAGACUUUACCAGACAAGCUGAGAAGUGGUGCAUGGCCGUCGCCAGCUCGUGCCGUGAGGUGUCCUGUUAAGUCAGGUAACGAGCGAGAUCCUUGCUUCUAGUUGCUACCAUUACUCUCAGGAGUAGUGGGGCGAAUUAGCGGGACUGCCGUAGUUAAUACGGAGGGAGGAGAGGGCCACGGCAGGUCAGUAUGCCCUGAAACUCUGGAGCCACACGCGGGCUGCAAUGGUAGUGACAAUGUGUUCCGAAUCCGAAAGGAGGAGGUAAGCCUCAAACGCUACCACAGUUAUGACUGAGGGCUGCAACUCGCCCUCACGAAUAUGGAAUCCCUAGUAACUGCGUGUCAUUAUCGCGCGGUGAAUACGUCCCUGCUCCUUGCACACACCGCCCGU
rnacentral:rRNA from 1 species